GACGAACGCUGGCGGCGUGCUUAACACAUGCAAGUCGAGCGGAAAGGCCUUUCGGGGUACUCGAGCGCCGAACGGGUGCGUAACACGUAAGUAACCUUCCCCAGACUUUGGGAUAACCCUCGGAAACGGGGGCUAAUACCGGAAACGACACAGCUUCGCAUGGGGUCUGUGUGGAAAGUUUUGCGGUUGGGGAUGGGCUCGCGGCCUAUCAGCUUGUUGGUGGGGUGAUGGCCUACCAAGGCGAAGACGGGUAGCCGGCCUGAGAGGGCGACCGGCCACACUGGGACUGAGACACGGCCCAGACUCCUACGGGAGGCAGCAGUGGGGAAUAUUGCACAAUGGGCGGAAGCCUGAUGCAGCGACGCCGCGUGAGGGAUGACGGCCUUCGGGUUGUAAACCUCUUUCAGCAGGGACGAAGCGUAAGUGACGGUACCUGGAGAAGAAGCGCCGGCCAACUACGUG
rnacentral:rRNA from 1 species